CUACGGGGGGCUCCAGUAAGGAAUAUUGGUCAAUGGGCGAAAGCCUGAACCAGCCAUGCCGCGUGAGUGAAGACGGCCUUCGGGUUGUAAAACUCUUUUCUAAGGGAAGAACCAGCAGGACAGGAAAUGGUCCCGCUCUGACGGUACCUUAGGAAUAAGGAACGGCUAACUCCGUGCCAGCAGCCGCGGUAAUACGGAGGUUCCAAGCGUUGUUCGGAUUUACUGGGCGUAAAGGGAGCGCAGGCGGAAGGGUCAGUCUGAAGUGGAAUCCCGGGGCUCAACCUCGGACGUGCUUUGGAUACUGCCCUUCUUGAGUCCGUGAGAGGAAAGCGGAAUUCGGGGUGUAGCGGUGAAAUGCUUAGAUAUCCUGAGGAACACCAAUGGCGAAGGCAGCUUUCUGGCACGUGACUGACGCUGAGGCUCGAAAGCGUGGGGAGCGAACGGGAUUAGAUACCCUAGUAGUC
rnacentral:rRNA from 1 species